GUACACGGCAUUCUAAUCAUAUAAAGUGACAUUCUGUGUGAGGUACACUGCAUUCUAAUCACAGAGAGUGACAUUCUGUGUGAGGUACACGGCAUUCUAAUCAUAUAAAGUGACAUUCUGUGUGAGGUACACGGCAUUCUAAUCAUAUAAAGUGACGUUCUGUGAGAGGUACACGGCAUUCUAAUCACAGAGAGUGACAUUCUGUGUGAGGUACACGGCAUUCUAAUCACAGAGAGUGACAUUCUGUGUGAGGUACACGGCAUUCUUAUCAUAUAACGUGACAUUCUGUGUGAGGUAGACGGCAUUCUAAUCACAGAGUGACAUUCUGUGUGAGGUACACGGCAUUCUAAUGAAAGUGACAUUCUGUGUGAGGUACACUGCAUUCUAAUCACAGCGCGUGACAUUCUGUGUGAGGUACACGGCAUUCUAACCAUAUAAAGUGACAUUCUGUGUGAGGUACACAGCAUUCUAAUCACAGAGAGUGACAUUCUGUGUGAGGUACACGGCAUUCUAAUCAUAUAAAGUGACAUUCUGUGUGAGGUACACAGCAUUCUAAUCAUAUAAAGUGACAUUCUGUGUGAGGUACACAGCAUUCUAAUCAUAUAAAGUGACAUUCUGUGUGCGGUACACUGCAUUCUCAUAAUAUAAAGUGACAUUCUGUGUGAGGUACACGGCAUUCUAAUCACAGAGAGUGACAUUCUGUGUGAGGUACACGGCAUUCUAAUCACAGAGAGUGACAUUCUGUGUGAGGUACAC